rnacentral:rRNA from 1 species
CCUACGGGGGGCUGCAGUAAGGAAUAUUGGUCAAUGGACGCAAGUCUGAACCAGCCAUGCCGCGUGAAGGAUGAAGGCCCUCUGGGUUGUAAACUUCUUUUACCUGGGACGAAAAAUGAGAAUUCUUUCUCACUUGACGGUACCAGAGGAAUAAGCACCGGCUAACUCCGUGCCAGCAGCCGCGGUAAUAAGGAGGGUGCAAGCGUUAUCCGGAUUCACUGGGGCGAAGGGGUGUCUGUAAGGCUCUGGUGAAAUCUCCAAGCUUAACUUGGAAACUGCCAUUGAUACUAUAGGUCUUGAAUUAUCUGGAGGUAAGCGGAAUAUGUCAUGUAGCGGUGAAAUGCUUAGAUAUGACAUAGAACACCCAGUGCGAAGGCAGCUUACUACGGAUAUAUUGACACUGAGGCACGAAAGCGUGGGGAUCAAACAGGAUUAGAUACCCCUGUAGUC